AUUGAACGCUGGCGGCAGGCCUAACACAUGCAAGUCGAGCGGAUGAAGGGAGCUUUCUCCUGGAUUCAGCUGCGGACGGGUGAGUAAUGCCUAGGAAUCUGCCUGGUAGUGGGGGAUAACGUCCGGAAACGGGCGCUAAUACCGCAUACGUCCUGAGGGAGAAAGUGGGGGAUCUUCGGACCUCACGCUAUCAGAUGAGCCUAGGUCGGAUUAGCUAGUUGGUGGGGUAAAGGCCUACCAAGGCGACGAUCCGUAACUGGUCUGAGAGGAUGAUCAGUCACACUGGAACUGAGACACGGUCCAGACUCCUACGGGAGGCAGCAGUGGGGAAUAUUGGACAAUGGGCGAAAGCCUGAUCCAGCCAUGCCGCGUGUGUGAAGAAGGUCUUCGGAUUGUAAAGCACUUUAAGUUGGGAGGAAGGGCAGUAAGUUAAUACCUUGCUGUUUUGACGUUACCAACAGAAUAAGCACCGGCUAACUUCGUG
rnacentral:rRNA from 1 species